rnacentral:rRNA from 1 species
CCUACGGGAGGCAGCAGUGAGGAAUAUUGGUCAAUGGACGAGAGUCUGAACCAGCCAAGUAGCGUGAAGGAUGACUGCCCUAUGGGUUGUAAACUUCUUUUAUAUGGGAAUAAAAUGUUCCACGUGUGGGAUUUUGUAUGUACCAUAUGAAUAAGGAUCGGCUAACUCCGUGCCAGCAGCCGCGGUAAUACGGAGGAUCCGAGCGUUAUCCGGAUUUAUUGGGUUUAAAGGGAGCGUAGGUGGAUUGUUAAGUCAGUUGUGAAAGGUUGCGUCUCAACCGUAACAUUGCAGUUGAAACUGGCAGUCUUGAGUACAGUAGAGGUGGGCGGAAUUCGUGGUGUAGCGGUGAAAUGCUGAGAUAUCACGAAGAACUCCGAUUGCGAAGGCAGCUCACUGGACUGCAACUGACACUGAGGCUCGAAAGUGUGGGUAUCAAACAGGAUUAGAUACCCGAGUAGUC